rnacentral:rRNA from 1 species
AUUGAACGCUGGCGGCAGGCUUAACACAUGCAAGUCGAGCGAGCGGCGGACGGGUGAGUAAUGUCUGGGAAACUGCCUGAUGGAGGGGGAUAACUACUGGAAACGGUAGCUAAUACCGCAUACCAUCAGAUGUGCCCAGAUGGGAUUAGCUAGUGGGUGGGGUAAUGGCUCACCUAGGCGACGAUCCCUAGCUGGUCUGAGAGGGUGACCAGCCAAGCGGGAACUGAGACACGGUCCAGACGCCUACGGGGGGCAGCAGGGGGGAAUAUUGCACAAUGGGGGCAGGCCGGAGGCAGCCAUGCCGCGGGUGUGAAGAAGGCCUUCGGGUUGUAAAGCACUUUCAGCGAGGAGGCGUUACUCGCAGAAGAAGCACCGGCUAACUCCGUGCCAGCAGCCGCGGUAAUAC